rnacentral:rRNA from 1 species
CCUACGGGAGGCAGCAGUGAGGAAUAUUGGUCAAUGGGCGCUAGCCUGAACCAGCCAAGUCGCGUGAGGGAUGACUGCCCUCUGGGUUGUAAGCUUCUUUUAUAGGGGAGUAAGAUACGGUAUGUAUACUGCUUUGCAUGUACCUUAUGAAUAAGGCUCGGCUAACUCCGUGCCAGCAGCCGAGGUAAUACGGAGGAUCCGAGCGUUAUCCGGAUUUAUUGGGUUUAAAGGGAGCGUAGGCGGGUUGUUAAGUCCGGUGUGAAAGUUUGCGGCUCAACCGUAAAAUUGCAGUUGAUACUGGCAUCCUGGAGUACAGUAGAGGUAGGCGGAAUUCGUGGUGUAGCGGUGAAAUGCUUAGAUAUCACGAAGAACUCCGAUUGCGAAGGCAGCCUGCUGGACUGUAACUGACGCUGAUGCUCGAAAGUGUGGGUAGCAAACAGGAUUAGAUACCCGGGUAGUC